UACGGGGGGGGCAAGCGUUGUUCGGAUUUACUGGGCGUAAAGGGCGCGUAGGCGGCCACUGCAAGUCAGUUGUGAAAUCUCCGGGCUUAACCCGGAAAGGUCAACUGAUACUGCAGGGCUAGAGUGCAGAAGGGGCAACUGGAAUUCUCGGUGUAGCGGUGAAAUGCGUAGAUAUCGAGAGGAACACCUGCGGCGAAGGCGGGUUGCUGGGCUGACACUGACGCUGAGGAGCGAAAGCGUGGGGAGCGAACAGG
rnacentral:rRNA from 1 species